UACGUAGGGUGCAAGCGUUGUCCGGAAUUACUGGGCGUAAAGAGCUCGUAGGUGGUUUGUCGCGUUGUCCGUGAAAACUCACAACUCAAUUGUGGGCGUGCGGGCGAUACGGGCAGACUGGAGUACUGCAGGGGAGACUGGAAUUCCUGGUGUAGCGGUGAAAAUGCGCAGAUAUCAGGAGGAACACCCGGUGGCGAAAGGCGGGGUCUCUGGGGCC
rnacentral:rRNA from 1 species